GCAGCCCCCGCCGCGCCUAUGCCACUCGCCGCCGUCCAGGAGGUCCCCGUCGCCGCCCUUCAAGCGGUCCAGGCGGGACGACGGGUACGACCGACGAGGAGGCCGUAGCAAAUGGACGAAGCAGCAAAUGGAGCCAUCUCAUCGACCCGGGGUGCGUGCUUCCAUGACUUCCGGUGCCCAGCUCGCCAAAUAGGGACACCGGGAAGCGGCUGCGUCAAUGGCUCGCUGUCGCCGGCAAUAUUUCCCGCCUUGGACCUCCUUUAUCAUCCUCCGCAUCCAUCCAUCCAGAGAGGCGAACCUUCUUCAGUCUUCAAUCAGUUCCACGAGCGACAUCCGGCACCGCGUCCCAUGGUAAUCAGCAAUUUCUUCGUACACCUUUCCACCGUUGCAGACUACUGUCAAAUCUGAUGCCACAGACCAUCCUGCUAAUAGCAUUAGAUAGUAAGCCACGCGCCACAAUUCUAAUUAUGUACUGCUACCAAAUUACUAAUUUUGCAGCAAUACUUGAUGCCAUGCAGCUUACCAUCAGAAUACAAAUUGAGUUGGAAAACCAAAUGGAAUAUACAAUAGGUACUGUGAUAAGGCUUGCUGCAAACUGAGGUUACCAAACAUUUAGUACAGCACACUGUAUCCAGCCAUCCCCCAUCCAUCUACAGACUACAGGCACCAGCCACCAAUGUAAUUUCCCUCUUUUUUUGAAACAAAUCUGAAACUUUUUUGUAAAUUGCUACUGCCACAGAUUGCUAGAAGGAGUAGAAGUCACUUGGCCAAACAUUGUUGAAUCAUCAGAAUGAGAUAAUUAUGCUUAUCAAACAUUUCCAGACUCUUAAAUAUUUGUCGCGAAUUUGACAUGGUAAAGCACUGUGUGCGGACUUAUGAAUUAUGACAAGACAUUUUGAGUUAUGAUGCGUAACCAUGAUAGCUGGUGUUGAACUCAGAUAUACACACUAAAUGUUCUGAUAUGCCAAAAUAAACGCAUUAGAAUCUUUUUAAUUAUCCCUACUAUUUUUCAGAGGUUGUUCUGCCGGUGCUAAUUAUGAUGUUCUGCUACUGCUAUUGCAUAUAGAGGGAGAUCAGGGAGGAGAGCAGCAGCCUGCUCCUGCGAUUUUGUUCAUGCUGUUGCUUGGUUACUACUCCCUCCGUCCGGAAAUACUUGUCCUCGAAAUGGUUGUAUCUAGACUUAUUUUAGUUAUAGAUACAUUUCAUUUUAUCCAUUUUGAGGACAAGUAUUUCCGGACAGAGGGAGUACUACACAUCUAUACAGAGAACACACAGAAGGCUGCUACUUGCAUACGUAACUCUGGCGAGUCGUGGUGACGAGAUUUUGAUCUUUAGAUUCAGAGUGGACAAUGCAUCCACAUCAAGGAAGUAAAUGUGCCUGUGCGUUGCCCAUGCGCUGGAAAGUGUUUCAUUAUCAAAAACUGUGGCUGCAAAACCAGCGCUCAAAUUGAACAUCCAUUCCAUUGAACCGUGGGGACAACAUGAGGCAUCUGUCUCUGAUCUGUUGUUACUUUGGUAGAUAAUAUGUACUGUGCGUGCGUGCAUGUGUUGAUAAGUAGCAGAUUUGCUUGGCCGCCUGUGACACUCAUGUCAAAUCCUUGACAUUUCUGGGGUUAUACAAGCAGCAUGUUUUCUACUCCCUCUGUCCCAUAAUAUAAGAACGUUUUUGACACCAGUGUAGUGUCAAAAACAUUCUUUAUUAUGGGACGGAGGGAGUAAGGUUUUGUUUUCCCUGCCUCCAUCUCUUCCAUGGCAAGCAGCACAAGUUUCUUUGUUUGUAAAUUAAGCAGUCUGGUAGAUUUGGAAAGGAGGAACAGGGUACUGAACUUUUAUAUAUCUGCAUAAGAUUUGCAAGAAUAUUAUGUUAUGUAAGAACAUGGCGGUGCAGUCACCCGAGGUGAAGAAGCUCCGUCACCUACCAACACCUCCUCCACCAGGCUGACAAGCACAACUGCUGACAACUGACAACAGUGAGGAACCAAGCAAAAGGGGAGCUUGGCUGCCAACGGGGUGAUGGACAGAUUGUAGGGGGUGCUUGCCACAUAUCUUCAAUGUGAGAAUAUUGAUUUCUCUUCUACAGUAUCAAUUAAUUACAACGAUGCCAAUGUUCAGGAGUUAAUCUACUGCAGAAAAAAUGACACACCAUUGUCAAGUUGCAGACAAAGGAAUCCACCCACCUUGUGACAGUUGAAGAGAGCGGUGCUAGCGGACUCAACAUGAUGAGUUCUGUGAUCCAGAUAAGGUUUACCCUAGCCAAGAGGGGCAUUCAGGUGAUGUGGAUGCUGAUAUUGUAACACGAGUCAAGAAGAAACUUAUUCUAGGAAGAGUUGUAGUGUCUUAUCCAUGGUGGACCGUCGAUGGCUUUGAGGGGAGACGUACAGACUGGUUCCUAUAACCUUUCUAUUUUUUUGCUAGGCUCAUUCGGUAGCUUUUGUGAUAACAGUGUUGAGUAAAUAGGCAAUUUCUCGAUUAAAUUAAUCCACGAGUAAAUCACUAGCAUGGCAUUGACAGAAAUAAACGUAUACUGAUAUUCAGUCAAACUA